rnacentral:tmRNA from 1 species
GGGGCUGAUUAGAAUUUCGACAGGAUUUAGAUAGCUUUGGCUGCAUGCCGACUUGUGCUAAGUCGCAAAACUGGCUCUUAAAUAUAAACGCAAACAACGCGAAUUACGCUCCAGCUUACGCUAAAGUUGCGUAAGUUUAUUAGCUUUUGGAGCUGUUCUUAGUUAAGAUUCUAGCUAUUUUCUAAGGAUAUCAUUUAAGUUAGAUGCGCUUUAUGUUACCAAGCAUAAAGUUAAGACUUUGGUUGCCUUUAUUUAAAAGUUUUUGGGAAUUUUUUAGGUAAAGAAAGAUUUAAAAACCCAAGCAAGCAUGUAAAUCGGUUAUUGUGGAUUUAAGUUUUGGACUGGGGUUUGAUUCCCCACAGCUCCACCA